rnacentral:rRNA from 1 species
GACGAACGCUGGCGGCGUGCCUAAUACAUGCAAGUCGAACGCAGUGGGGACGGGUGAGUAACACCUGGGUAACCUCCCAUCAGAGGGGAUAACACUUGGAAACAGGUGCUAAACCGAUAUUGGUGGAUGGACCCGCGGUGCAUUAGCUAGUUGGUGGGGUAACGGCCCACCAAGGCCACGAUCCAUAGCGGGCCUGAGAGGGUGACCGGCCACACUGGAACUGAGACACGGCCCAGACUCCUACGGGAGGCAGCAGUGGGGAAUCUUCGACAAUGGACGAAAGCCUGACCGAGCCACGCCGCGUGAGUGAAGAAGGUUUUCGGAUCGUAAAACUCUGUCGUUAGGGAAGCGGUAUCUAACCAGAAAGCCACGGCUAACUACGUGCCAGCAGCCGCGGUAAUAC